UUCUGUAAAAACCGAUGUGUAAUGCAUA
rnacentral:piRNA from 1 species